rnacentral:rRNA from 1 species
AUUGACCGCUGGCGGCAGGCCUAACACAUGCAAGUCGAACGAGUGGCGGACGGGUGAGUCAUGUCUGGGACACUGCCCGAUGGAGGGGGAUAACUACUGGAAACGGUAGCUAAUACCGCAUACCAUCGGAUGUGCCCAGAUGGGAUUAGCUAGUAGGUGGGGUAACGGCUCCCCUAGGCGACGAUCCCUAGCUGGUCUGAGAGGAUGACCAGCCACACUGGAACUGAGACACGGACCAGACUCCUACGGGAGGCAGCAGUGGGGAAUAUUGCACAAUGGGCGCAAGCCUGAUGCAGCCAGGCCGCGUGUAUGAAGAAGGCCUUCGGGUUGUAAAGUACUUUCAGCGGGGAGGCGUUACCCGCAGAAGAAGCACCGGCUAACUCCGUGCCAGCAGCCGCGGGAAUUC